UCUGUGUCGCCAGAGUCAGUUUCCCAGAGGAGGUCCAACACAUGAUCAAAAAAAUUGUUGCUAUUCAAAGCAAUAGUAUCUUCAGGAGUCUUGACUAUCAAAUUUGUCAAGACCCCUGAAGUGGUACUGGCAACUUCUGUGGUAGCGUCCAUGCUAAUUUCCUCUUCAGAAACCGGUUCUUCCUCAGGUUCUUGAGGAAUAAGCUCCUCAAAACCAAAGUAUUUCCACCUCUUGCCUUCUUCGGAUUGUUCAUCAAAGCCAUUCUCAAAACUCUCAUCUGUGUCGGUGUCUUCUUCUUCUUCUUCUUCUUGUGCAAUAUUAUGUCCAAAUAAUUUUCCAAGACCCUUUGUGGCCAGAUAACCAAGGCCCCAACCAAUAGUCAGAAACAUUUUUGCUGAAAUUGAAAUCCUUUCUAAAAUCGCUGAUCCUGUUGUAAAAGUGCUGUAGCUCCAACGAAGUUGAAAAGCAAACUGAGAAUUCUUGUAUUCCAAAUGAUAAUAAUAAUCUUUUGAACCUUUAUGACAUCAUCGAUGAGAAGAUGGAUGACAUGAUGAUGUCAAACAACCUGUGUCAGGUUCUUGUUUGUUUAGUUGCUAUGGAAACACAAGGCAUUAUGUGUAAGGUAAGACUACUGUCAAUUAAAAAUGCAUGCGUAGACAUCUACAUUCGUGAAUGCAAGUCAAUAAAUGUGCAUAAAUUUAA